UAUUUAAUCCUCAUAAAUAGUAGAUAACGGAAGUUAUCUUUAAAAAGGAAUCGUGUGAAAAUCACGAGCUGUCGCGCAACUGUAAGUAACUUCCCAGUUGCAACCCGAGAAUGUCCAUUGUCCCAUAAGGAUGAGAAGGAUGGUUGCAAUGUUACAAGCCAGGAGACUUGCUUUUUAUGACAAGGUUUA
rnacentral:ncRNA from 2 species